ensembl:lncRNA
AUGUUUUACUGUACAUCUGAUAACCUUAGCAGAACACAUACACAUUUACGUAGCUAUCUAAAUAAGGACAUUGGUCUGUACUUAAAUCACAUCUCUCUUUCUUUCUCUGUAGAGGACAGCGGUGAGCGCUGGUGUCUGAUCUGUGGGGACCGGGCAUCCGGGCUGCACUAUGGCAUCAUUUCCUGUGAGGGGUGUAAGGGCUUCUUCAAACGCAGUAUUUGCAACAAGCGCAUCUACCGCUGCAACAGGGACAAGAACUGCCAGAUGUCCCGCAAGCAACGCAACCGCUGUCAGUACUGCAGACUGCAGAAAUGCCUUCAGAUGGGAAUGAACCGCAAGGGUGAGAGAAACACGAGCAACACACAACCACACACACACACACAGUCUGGCCAGGAGUUUAAAGAAGGAGCUGAACUAUCAGAUACGUGGAGCCACGGCUACAGUAACCACAGUUCACCUGGCAACAGUAUCUCCGAGGGCGGUCAAACCGUAUCUUUUUCCACGCUGUCAAGCAGCCGUUCUGUGGAUGUGAGCACAUACCCUGUGUCCUGUAGAGAUCAGUGCAACAGUCCUAAGCUGACACACUCUUUCCUGUUGUGUAAAUAUCCUUUACCGCCCUCUACUGGCAGCAGCCUGAAGGCGCAAUCGCACACACUGUCAGCCCAGCUACUCGCUGCUGAAGAUCUCACACCUCUCACUACACCCAUGGUCAUAGAAGAGGGGUAUAAUGUGACUCAGUCGGAGCUGUUGGCUCUGCUGUGCCGUAUAGCUGAUGAGCUGUUAUUCAGACAGAUUGUCUGGCUGAAGCGUUUACCCUUCUAUAGCAAUCUGUCCAUCAAAGACUGCACUCGUUUACUGGGGGCUUCCUGGCAUCAGCUCAUCCUGCUCUCUUCGCUCACUGUGCACAGCGGACAGAUACUGGGAGAACUGGCCAACAUCACACACCAGUACACACCGUCCAGCCUAACAUUACAGGGGUUUGGUGAGGGUGCUAUGGAGGUCAUGGAGAGUUUAAAUUUUCUCUUCCGUAAGUUUCAGCAACUAAAUAUCAGCAAUGAGGAGUACAGCUGCUUAAAGACCAUCACCCUGCUCAAUCAAGAUAUGGCAGGUUUGUGCAACACGUCCACACUGGAACAGUUGAGUGAACGUUACUGGUCCGUGUGUCGUGACCUGACAGAACGACUCCACCCUCGUCGACCCAAACGCUUCUCUGACAUCAUCACCUGCCUUUCCGAGAUACGCCACACCUCAGGUAAGAUGAUGGCCAUUCCACUGGAGCAGCUCCCACUGCUGUUUAAGGCGGUACUGUACUCCUCCUUUGGAAAACCACAAACUCUUUGA